rnacentral:rRNA from 1 species
GAUGAACGCUAGCGGCAGGCCUAAUACAUGCAAGUCGAACGGCAAGAGGUGCAGCAAUACAACUCCUAGAGUGGCGAACGGGUGCGUAACGCGUAUGCAACCUACCCUAUACAGGGGGAUAGCCCGGAGAAAUCUGGAUUAAUACCCCAUGGUACUAAGUUGAGGCAUUUUGAUUUAGUUAAAGAUUCAUCGGUAUAGGAUGGGCAUGCGUCUGAUUAGCUAGUUGGCGGUGUAACGGACCACCAAGGCGACGAUCAGUAGGGGUUCUGAGAGGAAGGUCCCCCACACUGGCACUGAGAUACGGGCCAGACUCCUACGGGAGGCAGCAGUAGGGAAUAUUGGGCAAUGGACGAGAGCCUGACCCAGCCAUGCCGCGUGCAGGAAGACGGCGUUCUGCGUUGUAAAACUGCUUUUAUCUGGGAAGAAAAAGUCCAUGCGUGGAAAAUUGCCGGUACCCAGAUGAAUAAGCAACCGGCUAACUCCGU